GCAAGGAAACACACAGACAACUUCUUCAAUGUGAAAGGCAUUACAAUAUAUGCUUCUAUAGGAGCUGUGUUCCUGACCCGUCAGAUAAGCAUCUUCAUCCUGUGACUCAGAAGUGCAAGCUGCUCACAACAUCAAGAGUAAAGAAAAAAACAAGCAAAAGCAACUCAUGCUCAGGAGCCUUAAGAGGUUUAAUGUUGAUAGGAUCAGAUUUGAGGAGGACAAACCAUCUGCCCCAACACAGAAGUAACUGGGACCAGAGGUAGCAGGGAACCCAGGAACUCUGCCUGACCAGUGGCAUGGAUUAAUUCCUGUCUGUGGCAGUGCCCUGAGGAGACCUUAAGCAAGAACUCCGCAGGUAGUCCCACAAUACCCAGAAGAAGAUCCACUCCCAGGCAUUCUAACAAACCCAGGAUCACAGGAUUCCAGAAUCCCAGAAGCCUAGUCACACCAGGAGCUCAGGGUCCCAAAGGCAGGUUGACUCCCAGGAGCUUUGACACACCCAGAAUCACAGGAUCCCAAAAUCACAGGAUCGCAGAGAGAGCAGAACCUGAGGAGUUCUGACACAACCAGGGUCACAGGAAGGACAGGCCCCAGUUAGAUAUAGCGAGGGCAAGUCACACUAGAGAUAAUCAGAUGGUGGGUGUUGGAAACCAAAAGCACACUCUGAGCAUUCCCUGGCUUGACCCGCUGCUAACUUCAGCUCUGGCAGAGACACCUGGAGCCAAGAGGCUUGGGAACCAGGCACCUUCCUCCCCGGAAAAAAUGUUUUAUGGCUAUCUUCAUCCCUGGGAGAGUUUCAAGCAGGCACUAAAGGGUCAAGCAGGAAUCUUCCCUUCCUGGGAAGGUGUUAAAUCAAGCCCACUCCUCCUGAGAAAAUGUUUACCUUGCCCUGCUGAGAGGCGCCUGGAGCCAAGCUUCACAGAGACAACUCCCCAAGAUAAGGCUGCAAUAUGUCUCAGGCCCCCUUAUCAAACACCUGUCCAGAUGUUCCCCUCUACUCCUUUGUUCCAGCCGAAUUCCCCUCACCCCUCCUCAUUUUCUUUUUCUGUAACGUAUAUAUACUGGCCACUGGUCAUUAAUAAAUGAGGCUUUGACAAAAGA